rnacentral:lncRNA from 1 species
CGGACCCCUCCCAACCCAGCAGGACAUGGUGAACUCGCACCGGGGCCUGGCCUUCCUGAAAGCAGCAAAGGAGUUCCACUAGCGUUACAUCACCACUGCCAGCCAGACAUCAACCGCAUAACAUUCGUUCUUGUUCUUCUCCUGUGAGCAUUUCUAUGUCAUCUACUGCAAGUUCUGGGAGCUCGACCUGGACGGCGACCUCGCCAUAGACUGCCAUCUCUUCCUGGAUGAUAGACUGCGUCUUCUCUCUCCGGUGCUGUCACCCAGUGAGCAGCCUGGGAGGUCGGAUCACGCUUUGUGGCCUGAAGCGCUUGAGCCUGGCAGGUCUGUCCGACAUCAUGGAUCUCUAUGGCCUCACUAACGAUGACUGCGAUGACUUGGAGCAGCUGUGACACCCUACUGUGUGCCCGGGAACGGUGCACAUGUGCCUACAAGGGCUUCCUCCCGAG